UGAAGAUUGCUUGACUAGCUGUUGGCUUUGUGGUAUGAAGACACAGCCGAAGAAAGGGGAAGCGCCUCCUCUGGCUCAUGCUGGUGGGAGAAAAUGAACCAGCCCUGCUUUCUCUCCCUGGUUCAAUUCCCAGCAAAGGAAAAACAAUGUAAUUCAUGAUGAUGAUGACAAUGACAAUGACGACAACAACAAUAACCAACCUUUAACACAUCCUUAUAAUGUGCCAGACCCUGCGGUAGGUGCAUUAGAAUAAUUACCUCAUUUAAUUAUUGUAACAUAGUUUGGUUAAUUUGCCCCCAUUUUUCAUAUGAGCAAACUGAGGCAUGGAGAGGCUAGGCAGCUUGCCCAAGAAUAAGAGGCUGUGCUGGCUUGAAAGUGAGGCAUUCAGACAUUAGUGUCACAUGCUCUUAAUCGCUCCACAGCACCAUCUCCUUGGAUCGGAGUGAUUUCCUGGAGCAAAGGUAAUCUGAUCUUAUUCACACAGGAGCAGGCAAUAACUGCCUGAGUACAGAACUCCUAUGAGGCGAUUGGUGUUGGAACCCUGAGUAGUCUAGUUACAUAACCAGCAUAACCCUUGGAAAAGCUGUCGCAUAAGGGAAGGCUGCCUCUGGGACUAGAAGAAAGACUAUGCCAAGAUCUGGUUCUGCAAUAGAUGAGCUGUUUGACCUUGGGCUCAACGCUUCACAUUUAGGCUCUGAUUUUCAAAGGAAGUUCUUGGGCUGGGUAAUCUCUGGAGAUCCUGUCAUGUAAGCAGCCCCUGCCAGCACUCCUACUGGGGAGUGAUUACCAUAAAGACAAGGAAAGUGUUAAGCAGGUUCUUGCACCUCCCAAAGUAAGUAGCAAAUAGCUGUUUGGGUGUCCUGAGGAGUUCUGAAAACACUGGGCCUAGUUGCCUCCUGCUUCAUCUUGCACCAUAUGCCUGAAGCUAGUGAAUGAAUAAACAUCACUCGUGGCUAUUUCUGGAUGCUCAAGAAACUUUGAAAAAAAAAAAAGAAUUAUUAUUUUUGAGGAGAGUAUUAUAGAAGACCCAGGGGAAGACAGGGUAGGGAGGAGAGUGAGGAUUCUCUUUGUUGUGAUCCUAGAAUUCCCAUUAGGUGGACUGGAAAUGCUAGACUUACCAUUGUUGGACUGGAAAUGCUAACAUCCUGAAACUCUUAGGACCUCUGCAUGAAGAAUUGUCCUGCCCCAAAUGCUCUUAGCACCCCCACUGAGAAGGAGUAAAAGAGUUUCUCACAGUGGAAACACUGCGAACCUCUUUAUGCAUUUUUCUGAACAUCAGUCAAUAAUCCAUUAACUCGGGGAAGCUGAAUGCUCUUCAUACAGGAAUCCAAAAUAAAUUGACAGAUAUCCUCUGGGAAGAACUGUAGAAAGGCUCUGUGGGCUUGAACAAGGCAUUUCAUUUCCUUGGGCCUCAGUUUCUUUAUCUUUAUAGCACUAACAUUCUAUAGCUUCCUAAUUUCUCUCCCCAGAAAGGAGAAAUAAUUUUUAAACACAGAGGCUUAGAAAGAGUUUGUUUUCCAAUUCGGGGCAUGCUAGGUACAUGUACUGCAGUUAACCAAAAUGCACAUGGUAAAGUUUAAGCCAAAAGAAUGCAGAAUCAGGCCGGGCAUGGUGGCUCAUGCCUGUAAUCCCAG
rnacentral:lncRNA from 1 species